GUGCUAAUAUAGGGGAUAGUUCAGUAGGAACAAGGACGUGGACACGUUCUCCAGCCAACGGCUUGAAGUAGUGAGGUCCAACCCUGCCAUUAAAGAUUUCAUGGAGAGAUUGCCUGCUUUAUUUUCUAAAGCUGAGAUCAUAGAGGAAUCAUCAUGGGAUGAUGGUUACACCCAUUUCCGUGGAGCAGAUGUUCAUGUACAACUCGACAACUGCACACCAAAACGUAUUGGUCUGAUGGAGGCAAAAGGAGGGAUUGUUGGAAGCAAGAUUAUGCUGAUUUUGCAAAAACUUAGACAGGAGGAUGUUCACUGUGAUCCCUUUCAUGAUGCAGACAUGAAAAUCUUUGUUGUCCAUUCUACUGAAGAAGAUCCAGUUGAUGGCAAAAUGGUUCUUGAGGGACAAAAGAUCCUUUCCCAGUGUCAAAAUACUGCAAAAGCCGGUGCUCUGCUGAUGGGGUACAUUUAUGGACUGUUUGUUUAAUGAUAUUGUGUUGGAGGAAAUGUAAACUGAUUACAUGAACAAAGUAUAUUAAGUUAUUUAAUAUUUAAUAUUAUUAUUUAAUAUUUUUGUGUUUUAGAAAAUUUUAAUUGAUUACAUGAACAGAAAAUUAAUAUUUUAUUGGAGAAUACUUAAAUCGAUUACAUGGACAAAGUAUUGGUUGAUAAUUUUGUGUUGGAGGAAAUGUAAACUGAAUAAAAGAGCAAAGUAUUUGUCAUUGAUGAAUAAACAGUUGCAAAGUA